rnacentral:lncRNA from 1 species
AGAUUUCAAUAGUUCAAUGAGAAAGGACUCUUAAAGUGUGGAAAGGUGUAAUUAAUGAAAGCUUGUAAUGUGAUGAGCUCAUUUAUGUUUACUUGAUAUGAGAUUAUGUGAUGAGUUCAUAUGAGAUUAUGUGACAAACUUGUUGAAUAAGUGUACGUGUUUAGGUAACUUACCCAAAAUCAAUGGAAUGUAAAUUUAUGUAUGCUUGAAUUAGUAAAUAUGACCGGUAAGUUUAUUUUCCGUUAUACGAACUUACUAAGCAUAAAAUGCUUACUCC